rnacentral:lncRNA from 1 species
CCCAUUAAUAUCAGUGGGAAUCUGCCUUCAUCUUCAGUGGGAACAGAGCUUCAAAGACACAGGAAUCACCCAUAGAACCUGAAGGAGUUUCACAUCCUUGGCUUGACCACAGUCUUUCUCCCAGCGCUGCCAGAGUGGCUGUUGGUGUGUGGGCAGCUUUGCCAGAAGAACCUCUCUGAGGCAGGACCAUACAGGAGCUGGGCAGAGAAGAACCUCCUCUUGGGCUGCAUAACAAGACACAGUAUCAAGUCACUGUAUGAUGACGUGCAUAAUGUACAACCCGGAGAGGCUGUUACACUCUUGAUGGUGCCCUCAUUUUAAAAAAUCAGCAUGUAUGUAAUCAAAGAAAUGAGGAACGAAGUAUGUGAUUUGGCUGCUUUGAAAAUCAUAUAGUAAUGAUUUUUGUGUUUGUGGGCUUAGCUUGGUAGCCCAUCUAAAAUGACUGUCAGUAGAUAGAUUGUGCAAUGAAGAUGAAACACAGUAUUGCAGGUAAGAAACUAAUUUUUAUUUCACAG